UACGUAGGGGGCAAGCGUUGUCCGGAAUUAUUGGGCGUAAAGAGCGCGUAGGCGGUCCGGUAAGUCCGCUGUGAAAGUCAAGGGCUCAACCCUUGAAAGCCGGUUGAUACUGUCGGGCUAGAGUCCGGAAGAGGCGAGUGGAAUUCCCGGUGUAGCGGUGAAAUGCGCAGAUAUCGGGAGGAACACCAAUGGCGAAGGCAGCUCGCUGGGACGGUACUGACGCUGAGGCGCGAAAGCGUGGGGAGCAAACAGG
rnacentral:rRNA from 1 species